GUGCUCGUUUUGGCAGCACAUACACUAAAACUGAAACGAUACAGAAAAGAUCGGCAUGGCCCCUAUGCAAGCAUGACACGUACAUUCACAGAGCAUUCUAUAUUUUU